rnacentral:lncRNA from 1 species
GGAAACGGGGAUGGCAGAGGGGGAAGCCCAUCCUCAGUGCUGCACGGAGGUGGCUUAAUGCAAAUCCCUCACUUGCCUCUCCCCAUGGCCACCCUGGCAGCAUCCUCCUACAAAUGCCUCCGAGCUGCAGCUGGGUGAGAAACGAUUUUAAAACUACAGUGUUUAGAGGUGUUCUCCCAGCUGCGCACGGCCAAUACGCGUCUCUCAUGAUAGGUGUAUGAGUCCUGGAGCCUCUGUGCUGUGCGGAUGAAGCCAAGGGUGGACACUGUGCUGGGAGUGGGGAAGGAGGUGCAUGGAAGAGCCCAGGGGCGUGCAGCACGGCGACAGCGCAGGGGCUGCCGGAAGACCCCCCCACAGAGCAGGGAGCAGCAGGCAGAGCCAGACAGGCUCCUCACAGCUCCGGAUGAAGGUAAAGAUAUUUGGGGAGGGGGGGAGGAGAGGGAAGGGAGAAGGGGGUGGCUUUGUGCCUCCUCUCUCCCUGAGCAGCAUCGCAUGCAUCCAGGGGGGGUCCCUCUUCCCAGCAGCAACUCCCUGCACCCUCAUCUCUGCUCCAGUCCCGCAACCCUUACCUGCUUCCCAACAGCUCCUCCUGGACCCCUCCUUAACCCUGUGAGGGGUACUUUGGGGGAUACCUGCCAGCCCAUGCUCCCCAGCAUCCUGGAGAAUCUGGGGGUCUCAAGGCUGUCAUAGGAAUGCUGCCACACUGCUGCCACCCCUCUCUGUCCCCAGGAAGGAUGAGCAGUCCCCAGGAGCACCUGGAUAGAGUUUUGGCUGGGAGCAAGGAGAGCAUGGAGAGUGUCAGUGAGGUGAGGAGGACAGGAGGGCAACACGUCUGGGACUGCAGAGCCACUCAGUGAUGCUUUUUUUUUUAUGGGGGGGGGGGGGGGGAUGCCUUUCAGCACCAGGAAGGGGUUUGGCCUGAAAGUGCCCCUUCGCAGGAGCCGGACACAGAGGAGAUGGCUUUUUGCACUGGAGAUGGCGAUGGGAUUGAGGAAGGUGGGUGAAUCACCAUGCCAGGUCCCAGGCUGAGUGCCCUUAUGGUGGAGUGUGAAGUGACUGGGGACAAGCAUGGGAGCCAUGUGGCCUGACAGGGUUCAGCUCCCUUGAUGGGAACAUGGGAACCUUCCCUGCUGGCAGAAGCUCUGGGGUGUUCCCACCCUACUGGCACCUGUAUGGGAUGAUGAGAUGGGGGAGGGAGGAUCAAGCAAAAUACCUCACAUAUGGUCCUCCCCAAAGGUGAAGAAACCACAGAGGAGCUGCUGCUCAGUUUCCCCAGUGAGGUCUCAGUGCUGGAGAGAUUGGGACUGCACAGGUAAUGGGGCGAGUGGCUGCAUCGCUGCUGGGGGCUGCAGAACAGAGGUCCUGAGGCACCCCAGGAGCAGACCAAGGGCAUUUUGGCAUGCAUUUCACACUGUGCCUCUGGCUCUGACAGCUGUUCUCUUUCUGCAGCACUAAUUUGACGGAGCAGGACGUGGAGGUGAGGGCUUUUGGGCAGGCUGGGGAAGGUGAAAGGGUAUCAGUGUUCUACUGAAUCCCAGCCAGGGGACUGUGCCCUGCUCCCAGGCUCUGCAGUCCAUUGGCAGUGGUGCAGUUGGCACGAUGAACACCCAGCAAAUUGCUCCUCGAGCUACCCUGAGGUAGCGGAAGCCUCCCUCAUAAAAUUAACUGUCCUGUGAGUGCCAGGGCUUAG